rnacentral:lncRNA from 1 species
CGUUGGAAUCCUCUUUCCUUGUUCUUUCUAUUGAUGAUCUCUUUUUCUGCAAAAUAUAAUAACAAGUAUCAAUUUCUUAAUAAAGUUAGAUAAUUUAGAUAUUAAUUGAUACUUUUUAUGUCAAUUUGUGACAUAAAUCACCUUCCCCACGCCCUCUCUCUCAUUCAACGCCAAUCUCCUCUUAUUUUGUGUGACAAAAGCCCUCUCCUAGGUCUCUCCCAUGUUCACAAAAGGUCUCCUCUCUUCUUUCUUACAUGGAAGGUG